rnacentral:rRNA from 1 species
GAUGAACGCUGGCGGCGUGCUUAACACAUGCAAGUCGAGCGAAGCACCUUGAAGUCUUCGGACUAAGGGGUGACUGAGUGGCGGACGGGUGAGUAACGCGUGGGCAACCUGCCUUGCACUGGGGGAUAACAGCCAGAAAUGGCUGCUAAUACCGCAUAAGACCGAAGCGCCGCAUGGCGCGGCGGCCAAAGCCCCGGCGGUGCAAGAUGGGCCCGCGUCUGAUUAGGUAGUUGGCGGGGUAACGGCCCACCAAGCCGACGAUCAGUAGCCGACCUGAGAGGGUGACCGGCCACAUUGGGACUGAGACACGGCCCAGACUCCUACGGGAGGCAGCAGUGGGGAAUAUUGCACAAUGGGGGAAACCCGUGAUGCAGCGACGCCGCGUGAAGGAUGAAGUAUUCGGUAUGUAAACUUCUAUCAGCAGGGAAGAAGAUGACGGUACCUGACUAAGAAGCCCGGCUAACUACGUGACAGCAGCCGCCGUAAG